GGUUUCGUGGUCUAGCGGUAUGAUCCUCGCUUAGGGUAACACCCAAGUAUCCUGCAUACGAUAAUAUGCUCUUAUGCGAGGGGCCCCGGGUUCGAUCCCCGGCGAAACCC
rnacentral:tRNA from 1 species